rnacentral:rRNA from 1 species
AAACGCUGCUCAGGCUUACACACUGCAGUCUGAGGGGAAACGAUAUUGGAAGCUUGCUUCCGAUAGGCGUUGACCGGCGCACGGGUGAGUAACGCGUAUCCAACCUGCCCAUCACUUGGGGAUAACCUUGGCGAAAGUAAGACUAAUACCCAAUGAUAUCUCUAGAAGACAUCUGAAGGAGAUUAAAGAUUUAUCGGUGAUGGAUGGGGAUGCGUCUGAUUAGCUUGUUGGCGGGGUAACGGCCCACCAAGGCGACGAUCAGUAGGGGUUCUGAGAGGAAGGUCCCCCACAUUGGAACUGAGACACGGUACAAACUCCUACGGGAGGCAGCAGUGAGGAAUAUUGGUCAAUGGGCGAGAGCCUGAACCAGCCAAGUAGCGUGCAGGAUGACGGCCCUAUGGGUUGUAAACUGCUUUUAUAAGGGAAUAAAGUGAGUCUCGUGAGACUUCUCGCAUGUACCUUAUGAAUUAGGACCGGCUAAUUCCGUGCCAGCAGCCGCGGUAAUACGGAAGGGCCGGGCGUUAUCCGGGAUUA